UACGUAGGGUGCGAGCGUUGUCCGGAAUUACUGGGCGUAAAGAGCUCGUAGGCGGUUUGUCGCGUCGUCUGUGAAAUCCUCCAGCUUAACUGGGGGCGUGCAGGCGAUACGGGCAGACUUGAGUACUACAGGGGAGACUGGAAUUCCUGGUGUAGCGGUGAAAUGCGCAGAUAUCAGGAGGAACACCGGUGGCGAAGGCGGGUCUCUGGGUAGUAACUGACGCUGAGGAGCGAAAGCAUGGGUAGCGAACAGG
rnacentral:rRNA from 2 species